rnacentral:rRNA from 1 species
UACGUAGGGGGCAAGCGUUGUCCGGAUUUAUUGGGCGUAAAGAGCUCGUAGGUGGUUCGGUAAGUCGGAUGUGAAAUCUCCAGGCUCAACCUGGAGGGGUCAUUCGAUACUGCCGUGACUAGAGUUCGGUAGGGGAGUGUGGAAUUCCUGGUGUAGCGGUGAAAUGCGCAGAUAUCAGGAAGAACACCCGUGGCGAAGGCGGUUCUCUGGGACGGUACUGACGCUGAGACGCGAAAGCGUGGGGAGCGAACAGG